ensembl:lncRNA
AAAUAUAUGAAUUUAUUUAAACAAAUAAUAAUACAUCCCAUUACCAAUGGAUUUCUGAACGCUAUCCAGCCUGUCAAAAGCGAAACAAUAACUUGUGUUUCAUGUGUUUUAUUAGAAUUUAAUCACCUGCAGUGUCACAAACAAAAUCAAGAAGGCACUUCAAUGAUAUUGGGCUACACAGAAGUAACAUCAUUUGUAUUCUUUCAAUGCUAAAAUACAUGUAAAUAAAAAAAAAUCAUCAGUGGAUUCAUCUUUUGAUUGUUUACAUGUUUAACAUAAAGCAGAGUGAUUGUCUGUCGACAGAAUAUUUUCCCCUCUCUCUCUCUCGCUCAGUCUGUCUGACAUUUGGCCCCAGCUGAAUCCCGCUGUGCAGACUCAUGGUAAAAGGAGCCAUCAUCUAUCUUGUCGAAUUCUGUUGUCCUAAUUGGAAAAUUCCUUGAGGAAUGUAAAUUAUGCCCACAGUCACUCUCAUGGUGCUCAAUAUCGUACCAGUCUAAGGCACAUAACAUGCAGUCCUUUCCUUAUAUUUACUCCCAUUAUCCAAAGCCAAAUGUAAUACUGUGUGACAUUAACUGUCUUAGUGCAAGAGAAAAUACUAUAACUUUCUGUAAUAGUACAUCAACUGUUCAACACAUACAGUAUAAAACAAACAUACAGUGAAUUAAUUUACAAAUCCAAGAUAUUCUGAUAAUACAAAUAGUAAUUGGAUACAUUUAAUAAACAAUUGCUUUGAUACACUCAGUCAACAUGUUCACCAAACAUUAUUUACAAAACUAUUAAUAUCUUGCUAAGAUAUUGCCAUAAACUGAACAGCUGACAAGCGCAAUGUAAUUAUAAUGUGGCUUUGUGGAGGUGGUAUAAUAGUGACAAUUAUGAUGUUAUACACAUAUGAUUUUAUACACAUUAUUUUAUAUAUUCAUAUAAUUUGAUCCAAAACCUUAAUAACCAAAACCAAAAAUUACCCACCUAACUGUAGUAAUUUAAAAGAAUCCCUUAUAGAGUGAAUACUGUUAUAUCAGAAACCUGUUUUAAUGGCAAAAUAUCAAUGUAUAAUAAAUUUGUUCCCAAACUGUUGGUACCCAUAAAGGAAGUAGGCUUUUCACACUUCCUAAAUCCAAGUUGAACUGCUAAGGAUCACGAUUCCUUUCCAAAUGUAUGCAAGAGAACAGAAGAGUGUUCAAGAGUUAACAAAAGCAUUCGAUUGACUUCCAUUUAUUUUUGGUCAUCCAGCUCUCAGCUGUUCAAUUUCUUCAGUGAAAGACAGCAUAGUCUAAGCCCUCAAAUUCACUUCUGCAGCAUCUCAAAUGGCACAAAUAAUUAGUCUCUCCAAAAAAUAUUUGGUGAUGACCAUGAUUUCUGGUUCCUUUGGGGUCCCUUGGGUUUCUGUUUGAUGUUGAAUUUUGAGAUGCUAUGAUCCAGACUCAGGAGGUUGACACCACCUGCAAGCCUGCCAUGAAGGAAACAGCCCCAUGUGCAGAACUGAAUUAGGGACUCUGGCCCACAGCUGCACCUGGCUUCUGACCUAUAAAGAAAACAACUCUCACAAUUAGAACACUGCUUUUGACCUCAGGAACUCUUUUUUCACUGAGCCCUAUAGGUUUAUCAAACAUAAAAAACACUAUUAACCUUUUUAAUUCCA